rnacentral:rRNA from 1 species
UACAGAGGUCCCGAGCGUUUGUUCGGAUUUAUUGGGCGUAAAGGGUGCGUAGGCGGCGGAGUAAGUUGGGUGUGAAAUCCCGGGGCUUAACCUCGGAAUGGCAUUCAAUACUGCUUCGCUCGAGUACUGGAGAGGAGGCUGGAAUUUACGGUGUAGCAGUGAAAUGCGUAGAUAUCGUAAGGAAGGCCGGUGGCGAAAGCGAGCCUCUGGACAGUUACUGACGCUGAUGCACGAAGGCCAGGGGGAGCAAACGGG